rnacentral:rRNA from 1 species
AAACCAACAGGGAUUACCUCAGUAGCGGCGAGCGAAGCGGUAACAGCUCAAAUUUGAAAUCUGGCCCUCCCAGGGCCCGAGUUGUAAUUUGGAGAAGAUGCUUUGGGUGCGGCCCGGGUCUAAGUUCCUUGGAACAGGACGUCAGAGAGGGUGAGAAUCCCGUAUGUGACUGGGUGCCCGCGCCCGUGUAAAGCUCUUUCGACGAGUCGAGUUGUUUGGGAAUGCAGCUCAAAAUGGGUGGUAUAUUUCAUCUAAAGCUAAAUACGGGCCAGAGACCGAUAGCGCACAAGUAGAGUGAUCGAAAGAUGAAAAGCACUUUGGAAAGAGAGUUAAACAGUACGUGAAAUUGUUGAAAGGGAAGCGCUUGCACCCAGACUUGCGCCUGGCGGAUCAUCCGGUGUUCUCACCGGUGCACUCCGUCGCGCGCAGGCCAGCAUCAGUUGGGGUGGUUGGAUAAAGGCCAGGGGAAUGUGACUCCCCUCGGGGAGUGUUAUAGCCCUUGGUGCCAUGCAGCCUACCCCGACUGAGGACCGCGCUCCGGCUAGGAUGCUGGCGUAAUGGUUGCAAGCGAC